rnacentral:rRNA from 1 species
AGUCGACGAGACCUUCGGGUCUAGUGGCGCACGGGUGCGUAACGCUUGGGAAUCUGCCCUUGGGUACGGAAUAACAGUUAGAAAUGACUGCUAAUACCGUAUAAUGACUUCGGUCCAAAGAUUUAUCGCCCAAGGAUGAGCCCGCGUAGGAUUAGCUUGUUGGUGAGGUAAAAGCUCACCAAGGCGACGAUCCUUAGCUGGUCUGAGAGGAUGAUCAGCCACACUGGGACUGAGACACGGCCCAGACUCCUACGGGAGGCAGCAGUGGGGAAUAUUGGACAAUGGGCGAAAGCCUGAUCCAGCAAUGCCGCGUGAGUGAUGAAGGCCUUAGGGUUGUAAAGCUCUUUUACCCGGGAAGAUAAUGACUGUACCGGGAGAAUAAGCCCCGGCUAACUCCGUGCCAGCAGCCGCGGUAAUACGGAGGGGGCUAGCGUUGUUCG